UCCAUAAGGUCCAUUGCGCCAUGGCAAUGAGAACAUCCAGUCCUUUCUGAAGGGGCCGUGAAUGAUCAUCUGACCGCCAGGAACUCCGCAGCAAGAGUUGAGUUUGUGGGAGAUUCGUCAGAUGAAAAUUAUCCAGAAGUAAUGACCAAACCUGUAGUAAAAGAUGGUCCACUGUUUCAGUGUUUGAGUCACACAGAGC
rnacentral:lncRNA from 1 species